rnacentral:rRNA from 1 species
AUCAACGCUGGCGGCGUGCCUAACACAUGCAAGUCGAACGAGAAAGGGGCUUCGGCCCUGAGUAAAGUGGCGGACGGGUGAGUAACACGUGGGUGAUCUGCCCUCCAGUGGGGGAUAACACACCGAAAGGUGUGCUAAUACCGCAUGGAGUUCCGGUUGUCAUGACCGGAAUGAAAGCAGCAAUGUGCUGGAGGAGGAGCCCGCGCCGGAUUAGCUAGUUGGUGGGGUAACGGCCCACCAAGGCUACGAUCCGUAGCCGGCCUGAGAGGGUGACCGGCCACACUGGAACUGAGACACGGUCCAGACUCCUACGGGAGGCAGCAGUGGGGAAUUUUGCGCAAUGGGGGAAACCCUGACGCAGCAACGCCGCGUGGACGAUGAAGGCCUUUGGGUCGUAAAGUCCUGUCAGCAGGGAAAAACAAAAUGAUGGUACCUGCAGAGGAAGCUCCGGCUAACUUCGU